rnacentral:rRNA from 1 species
CGUCAGCUCGUGUCGUGAGAUGUUCGGUUAAGUCCGGCAACGAGCGCAACCCACAUCUUCAGUUGCCAUCAGGUUAUGCUGGGCACUCUGGAGAAACUGCCCGUGAUAAGCGGGAGGAAGGUGUGGAUGACGUCAAGUCCUCAUGGCCCUUACGGGUUGGGCUACACACGUGCUACAAUGGUAGUGACAAUGGGUUAAUCCCAAAAAGCUAUCUCAGUUCGGAUUGGGGUCUGCAACUCGACCCCAUGAAGUCGGAAUCGCUAGUAAUCGCGUAACAGCAUGACGCGGUGAAUACGUUCCCGGGCCUUGUACACACCGCCCGUCACACCAUGGAAGUUGGCCACGCCCGAAGCCGUUAUUCCAACCCUUGUGGAGGAGGAUGUCGAAGGUGGGGCUGAUG